rnacentral:rRNA from 1 species
CCUACGGGUGGCAGCAGUGAGGAAUAUUGGUCAAUGGACGAGAGUCUGAACCAGCCAAGUAGCGUGAAGGAUGACUGCCCUAUGGGUUGUAAACUUCUUUUAUAUGGGAAUAAAAUGUUCCACGUGUGGGAUUUUGUAUGUACCAUAUGAAUAAGGAUCGGCUAACUCCGUGCCAGCAGCCGCGGUAAUACGGAGGAUCCGAGCGUUAUCCGGAUUUAUUGGGUUUAAAGGGAGCGUAGGUGGAUUGUUAAGUCAGUUGUGAAAGUUUGCGGCUCAACCGUAAAAUUGCAGUUGAAACUGGCAGUCUUGAGUACAGUAGAGGUGGGCGGAAUUCGUGGUGUAGCGGUGAAAUGCUUAGAUAUCACGAAGAACUCCGAGUGCGAAGGCAGUUCACUGGACUGCAACUGACACCGAGGCUCGAAAGUGGGGGUAUCAAACAGGAUUAGAUACCCGAGUAGUC